CUUGCCAUGGCGAAUGCCUCUUCAGCUCCACCGCUCCCAACAGGCAUAUGCAGAAGGAAAUAGAAGGAAGCCAACAGAGGAGACCAGACGGAAUGGCUGAUUACAGAGGAUACAGGGAACUCAAUCCUAGCGGGAAACUCUCAGUGGAAAUGAAGCACCUAUGUUGAGUGAUAAAAACUGAGACCAAUUUAGCUGAAAAAUCAUCUCUGCAACUGACCUGCCAAUAAAACUCUCCUCUGGAGAGGUACAAGUCUCACCUACCUAAUUAAAAUAAAAUAAUGGAUUUUUAGUCAGCUGUUGGAAGGUGACAUUUAAAGAAUUAUGAGAACUUCACAAGAAACACUCGCGAUGAAGGAUGGCUCUAAGUAGCUGAGCAUUCUGCUGCUGGUUCCUGCCUCCAGGUUCCUGCCUCCAGGUUCCUGCCUCCAG